rnacentral:rRNA from 1 species
CCUACGGGGGGCAGCAGUGAGGAAUAUUGGUCAAUGGACGAGAGUCUGAACCAGCCAAGUAGCGUGAAGGAUGACUGCCCUAUGGGUUGUAAACUUCUUUUAUAUGGGAAUAAAACGUUCCACGUGUGGGAUUUUGUAUGUACCAUAUGAAUAAGGAUCGGCUAACUCCGUGCCAGCAGCCGCGGUAAUACGGAGGAUCCGAGCGUUAUCCGGAUUUAUUGGGUUUAAAGGGAGCGUAGGUGGAUUGUUAAGUCAGUUGUGAAAGUUUGUGGCUCAACCGUAAAAUUGCAGUUGAAACUGGCAGUCUUGAGUACAGUAGAGGUGGGCGGAAUUCGUGGUGUAGCGGUGAAAUGCUUAGAUAUCACGAAGAACUCCGAUUGCGAAGGCAGUUCACUGGACUGCAACUGACACUGAGGCUCGAAAGUGUGGGUAUCAAACAGGAUUAGAUACCCUGGUAGUC